rnacentral:rRNA from 1 species
GACGAACGCUGGCGGCGUGCCUAAUACAUGCAAGUAGAACGCUGAAGAGAGGAGCUUGCUCUUCUUGGAUGAGUUGCGAACGGGUGAGUAACGCGUAGGUAACCUGCCUUGUAGCGGGGGAUAACUAUUGGAAACGAUAGCUAAUACCGCAUAACAAUGGAUGACACAUGUCAUUUAUUUGAAAGGGGCAAUUGCUCCACUACAAGAUGGACCUGCGUUGUAUUAGCUAGUAGGUGAGGUAAUGGCUCACCUAGGCGACGAUACAUAGCCGACCUGAGAGGGUGAUCAGCCACACUGGGACUGAGACACGGCCCAGACUCCUACGGGAGGCAGCAGUAGGGAAUCUUCGGCAAUGGGGGCAACCCUGACCGAGCAACGCCGCGUGAGUGAAGAAGGUUUUCGGAUCGUAAAGCUCUGUUGUAAGUCAAGAACGGGUGUGAGAGUGGAAAGUUCACACUGUGACGGUAGCUUACCAGAAAGGGACGGCUAACUACGUG